GCGCCAUUAGCUCAACGGAUAGAGCAUCUGACUACGGAUCAGAAGGUUGGGGGUUCGAAUCCCUCAUGGCGCGC
rnacentral:tRNA from 1 species